ACAAAUCAUGCGCUGGUCCUUGGGCCGCGUACAUUCACCCAGAGCCCCUUGGGGUUCUUGUGGUUCGGGUUGCGUGCUGUGCAGUAUGCUCUGCAUAUACGCACACACACAUACCCAAAACAUAGACGCUUGCAUGUUUGACUGUAUCAUUGGCAACAAAAUGGA
rnacentral:misc_RNA from 1 species